GAUGAAGAACGCAGCGAAAUGCGAUAAGUAGUGUGAAUUGCAGAAUUCAGUGAAUCAUCGAAUCUUUGAACGCACAUUGCGCCCCUUGGUAUUCCAUGGGGCAUGCCUGUUUGAGCGUCAUUUGUACCUUCAAGCUCUGCUUGGUGUUGGGUGUUUGUCUCGCCUCUGCGUGUAGACUCGCCUCAAAACAAUUGGCAGCCGGCGUAUUGAUUUCGGAGCGCAGUACAUCUCGCGCUUUGCACUCAUAACGACGACGUCCAAAAGUACAUUUUUACACUCUUGACCUCGGAUCAGGUAGGGAUACCCGCUGAACUUAAGCAUAUCAAUAAGCGGAGGA
rnacentral:misc_RNA from 1 species